rnacentral:lncRNA from 1 species
AGAGAGGAGAGGAGAUGUGGUUGGGGGCCAGCCUGGAAGUCUCCUCAACCCUUGUGUAAUGUCCCUUCUGCUGGUUGGCUUAGUGGGUACCUGCCACUAUGUGGGUGCCAUACUUGGGACAGAAGAUGCAGAGAUGAAUGCAGAACCGUCUCUACUUUGUGUGAGUACCGAGUCUCACAAAGACAUCCUAAGAAAUUAUGUAACAUUAAAGCACUGACACAAGAAGGGAUAAUAUGUUAAGGAGAGCCAGGGAUGAGCCUUUUUGAUCUCUUGCUGAAGGGCAGGGUUAAAAUUUGACAAGUCUGUAAGGUAAGCAAAAUGAAGGGAGCACUUAACAUGGCA